CUUUAUCACUCGUGUCUCUGAAAUGAAUGCACGUGAACAUGUGUGAUUAAGAAAAGCCUUGCUACUGUGCAUGUUUAUUGGUUUAAACUUUAUAUGUAGUUAUGCAUAAAGUUGUUUCAUUAACAGAAGCCACGUGUCUUCUUAAAAUUAAUUCGAUAACGAAUCCGGAAUUAAUACGAAAUCGGUUUUAGUUUUGUCGAUGACAAAAUAUACGUCACAUUUUUACAUCACGGAGGCAGAAGAUCGAACUGCAGGAUGAAUUUAGCAGAGGUAAUGAUUGUCAAGCAUUCGUUUUUAUUUACUUACAUUUGAAAAUUAUAUCGUACAAUUACUGAUAGCAAAAGGGUAAACAUGUAGCACGGAGCUGUAACUGUGUUCUCCGGGAAAAAGUAUGUAAUAAAUCCAGAGGUGCUCGAAUGAAAGUUCACGAGACUUCAUCGAAAUUUGUUCAGUUCCUGUUAAAUUUCGAGCGGAAGUAUAAGUGUUCGGAUAAUAUUCUCAAAAUACGUAAGUACUGGUCGAUUUUCAUAUCAUAUCUUACUUUGAUUUAUGUUAAAACAUCAACAUCUUUUAAGAUGUAUGUCUUAUUACACCAUCUAGCGGUUUUUUAAAUUAAACGAUGAUAUUCAGAACAGAGGUAUCGUUCGUGUUUAACCACGUGUAGAGUGGUUGAUAAUAUAAACAUUGGGUUGCUUAAUAAAAUCAUAGCCAUGUUUGAUGCUUGUGGUGUGCAAUACCGUGUUUUAAAAAAAAUAAUGGGUGAAUAUUUUGCAUAAAAACUUAGUAUAUUGAGCCAUUUUCAAGGAACAUUCUGCAUAAAAUAGUACAGUCUGUUUCACUAUUGAUGUUAUUACUAGGUAAGGCGCGGAUCGAAAAUUAAUUCUUAGGGGGGAUCUCUACUACGUAUGUUAAUUAUCGCAACAGCAGAAAAAACUAUUUUUUGUUUUGUCACAUUUAUUUCUAGAACACAUUUUAUCCACCAAUUAUUGUAGUGAAGUUUAAAAUCAAUAAACCUCUAGAAUUUAUAUUUGACUACAAGUACCUUGAUUCUCUAAAAUAGACUUUAAACACGAGGCACGAUUUUUACUGCGAAACUGAAAGGGUCAAAUAAAACCACGAUCUAAAAUUUAAAUGACAAUAACAUUCGCAGGGGUGUAUACGUCGACCUUGGAUAAGACGCAUUUGAAAACUGAAAUAUUGAAAGUACAGAAAAACUAGAGCAAAGCCUAUGCAAAGUAACGAGUAGAUCUUCCAUUGCAACUAAGUGAAAUGAUCAUUGAAUUGCCUCUAUUAAGUUGUAUUCUUAUUGCAUGGUAAUUGAAACAUUUUUAUAGGCAUGCAUUGGCUGCUUGACAUAUCCCUUGGAGAGGACAUCAACUAGCUAACACAGUCAAUGACAGAUGUCUCUUUGAAUUGAUAAAAUCGUAAUCAAAUGGAUAUAAUACAGAACUUUCAAAGAUCUCUUUUGAUGUAGCCUAAAGAUUUGUAAUGAAUGAUCCAGGAUCCAAAAGUUCAAAGACAGUUGCAAUGUGGUUGCUAAUUUAGUGACAGAUUAAGAAAGAAGUUCAAACAAGCAUUGUCAUGGGAAAACAUUAAAAAGGAAGAAGUUGGAGGUGGACAAAAAUCAGGAUGAAUAUGUUAGAGGUAAAAAUUAGUUUGUCAAAUUAAUACCGGUACUUGUGAUUGACCUAAGGCUUUUG